rnacentral:rRNA from 1 species
GACAGAGGUGCCGAGCGUUAGGCGGAAUCACUGGGCUUAAAGCGUGUGUAGGCGGGUCCGCAAGUACCUUGUGAAAUCCCAUGGCUCAACCAUGGAACUGCUUGGUAUACUGCGGAUCUUGAGCCACCUAGGGGCAAGUGGAACAAACGGUGGAGCGGUGAAAUGCGUAGAUAUCGUUUGGAACGCCAAUGGUGAAAACAGCUCGCUGGGGCUGCGCUGACGCUGAGACACGAAAGCCAGGGGAGCGAACGGG